AGUUGAGCAUAGCUUUGAGCAUAAUCCAGAGGCUAUUGGAACAAAAAUUGGGAUUCAGGGCUUCAUCAAAGAGGAGACACCAUGACAAACACGCAGUGCUUUGAUUGGGAUAUGUAAGGACCGCAUUCUAGGAGCUAAGCAGCAGCCCCUCUAGCCAUUGGUACAGAUAGUUAAUUGGACCAAAUGGACUCAAUUAUUUUGAUCAAGACGCAGCUGCCCAGAGAGGCAAAGAAGCUGGGCAGGGCAGGGGAGUGUCUUUUGUUCUUUGCACUGCAGGAGAUGGCUCAGAGAAACCAUCCUGGUGGAAAUCCAGGUGGCAGAGGUCCCAGGAGGUCCUGGCUAGCCCAGUGUCUGGGCUGGCGGAAGGUCCCAUCUGAUUCUGGAGAUGAAAGGAUCGGAACCAUCAAUUGCAGUUGAACAACAAUACUCUGAACCUGAAAACGCUCCCCUUAAAAGCUCUGUAUUUUUGCCUAUGGGGGACGAAUUUGGUACUUUGAGACAAUAGUCUGCCAUUUUCCUCAUUUGUCAGCAAAUUAAUAAACUUCUCUGUUCUUCUUCUCAAA